rnacentral:sRNA from 2 species
UCUUAGGGAUGCUAGGGUUCCGGUUCGCAAGAAUGUCUGGUCCGAGAGCAGCCCGGUGCGGCAGUUCGUUCGACUCGGGCUCGAUCCGGGAGCGCGCGGCGGCUGCACUACACGGCGGGACAAAAGCCCGGGAGAU